rnacentral:rRNA from 1 species
GCGCGAAAACUUUACAAUGCUGGAAACAGCGAUAAGGGGACCUCGAGUGCCAGGUUACAAAUCUGGCUGUCGUGAUGCCUAAAAAGCAUUGCAUAGCAAGGGCCGGGCAAGACCGGUGCCAGCCGCCGCGGUAACACCGGCGGCUCGAGUGGUAACCGUUAUUAUUGGGUCUAAAGGGUCUGUAGCCGGCCGGAUAAGUCUCUUGGGAAAUCCAGCAGCUCAACUGUUGGGCUUUCAGGAGAUACUGUCUGGCUCGAGGCCGGGAGAGGUGAGAGGUACUUCAGGGGUAGGGGUGAAAUCUUGUAAUCCUUGAAGGACCACCAGUGGCGAAGGCGUCUCACCAGAACGGACCUGACGGCAAGGGACGAAAGCUAGGGGCACGAACCGGAUUAGAUACCCGGGUAGUCCUAGCCCGUAAACGAUACUCGCUAGGUGUCGGCCACGGUGCGACCGUUGUCGGUGCCGUAGGGAGCCGUGAAGCGAGCCACCGUGGGAACGUACCGGCCGCAAGGCCUAGAAACCUUAAAGGAACUUGGGCGGGGGAGCAACCCG